GACAGAGGGUGCAAACGUUGCUCGGAAUUACUGGGCGUAAAGCGCGUGUAGGCGGUUACGCGAGUCAGGUGUGAAAGCCCAGGGCUCAACCCUGGAAGUGCACUUGAUACUACGUAGCUGGAGUCCUGUAGAGGAGAGCGGAAUUCCCGGUGUAGAGGUGAAAUUCGUAGAUAUCGGGAGGAACACCAGUGGCGAAGGCGGCUCUCUGGACAGGUACUGACGCUGAGACGCGAAAGCGUGGGUAGCAAACAGGAUUAGAUACCCUGGUAGUCCACGCUGUAAACGAUGAGAACUGGGUGUUGCGGGUAUUGACCCCCGCGGUGCCGAAGCCAACGCGUUAAGUUCUCCGCCUGGGAAGUACGGCCGCAAGGCUAAA
rnacentral:rRNA from 1 species